rnacentral:rRNA from 1 species
CGAAAACGAAUUCUCUCUUGAGUGGAUCCUGAGUACGACGGAGCACGUGAAAUUCCGUCGGAAUCUGGGAGGACCAUCUCCUAAGGCUAAAUACUCUCUAGUGACCGAUAGUGAACCAGUACCGUGAGGGAAAGGUGAAAAGUACCCCGGAAGGGGAGUGAAAGAGAACUUGAAACCGUGUGCUUACAAGUAGUCAGAGCCCGUUAAUGGGUGAUGGCGUGCCUUUUGUAGAAUGAACCGGCGAGUUACGAUCUGAUGCAAGGUUAAGCAGAAAAUGUGGAGCCGUAGCGAAAGCGAGUCUGAAUAGGGCGAAUGAGUAUUUGGUCGUAGACCCGAAACCAGGUGAUCUACCCUUGGUCAGGUUGAAGUUCAGGUAACACUGAAUGGAGGACCGAACCGACUUACGUUGAAAAGUGAGCGGAUGAACUGAGGGUAGCGGAGAAAUUCCAAUCGAACUUGGAGAUAGCUGGUUCUCUCCGAAAUAGCUUUAGGGCUAGCCUCAAGUGAUGAUUAUUGGAGGUAGAGCACUGUUUGGACGAGGGGCCCCUCUCGGGUUACCGAAUUCAGACAAACUCCGAAUGCCAAAUAAUUUAACUUGGGAGUCAGAAUGUGGGUGAUAAGGUCCAUAUUCGAAAGGGAAACAGCCCAGACCACCAGCUAAGGUCCCAAAAUAUAUGUUAAGUGGAAAAGGAUGUGGCGUUGCCCAGACAACUAGGAUGUUGGCUUAGAAGCAGCCAUCAUUUAAAGAGUGCGUAAUAGCUCACUAGUCGAGUGACACUGCGCCGAAAAUGUACCGGGGCUAAACAUAUUACCGAAGCUGUGGAUUGUCCUUUGGACAAUGGUAGGAGAGCGUUCUAAGGGCGUUGAAGCAUGAUCGCAAGGACAUGUGGAGCGCUUAGAAGUGAGAAUGCCGGUGUGAGUAGCGAAAGA